GACAACUACAUCAACAACGACUACGCCAACAACUACACCGACAACUACACCAACGACUACGCCGACAACGACUACACCAACAACUACUACGCCGGCAACAACUACACCGACGACUAUUACACCAACAACAACCACACCAACAACGACACCAACGACAACAACCAAACCAACUACAACGACGACAACACCAACAUCAACAAUGCCAACAGCAUCGACAGGUUUACCAACAUUCGCAGCCACUGGGACGAGUGAAAACAUCACAACAUUUAAAACUUCAAACAAGACGGCAGCCACAUCAACCACACCGAAAGUCGGAGAUGGGUCUGGAGGCGCAACAAUCCACGGCUUGCUACCAGUCUAUUUGAUGAUGUCCGCCAUCUUGAUUCAAGCGAGAUUCUGAACAUGUUCUUAUGUAACUCAUCUCAGCACAGUCAUAAUAGUCGCGGUUAACUAAAGUUUUUAAAAAGUUCAAAAGUUUUGUUUAACGACACCACUAGAGCACAUUGAUUUAUCAAUCAUCGGCUAUUGGAUGUCAGACAUUUGGUAUUUGUUGACAAGAGGUCUUUGAGGAAACCCUCUGCAUUUUUUCUUUUCUUUUUUUUAGCAACAAUGGAUCUUUUAAAUGCAUUUCCCACAGGACAGCAUAUACCAUAACCUUUGAUAUACCAGUCGUUGGGUACUGGUUGGGAAAGGUUUAACUGUGGAAUUUAUAUUUUGUUAUGCGCAAAUAUUUAUUAUGCUGUUCACUGCCAAUAGCUGUUGGCUAUUUAACGGAUAGUAUCAGGAGUGAUCCCUGUCUGUCCCUGUACCGUCAGUAGGGCCGUUUUCAAUGUUCACGGUUUCUGGCGCGGGCGCGGGCGCGGAACGUAGAAAACGGACGCAUUAAAAAAAGCAUUCCUCUGCUUAUCGAUCUCAGUGUUUCCAAUGCAUGACACAAAUUGAAAACGCAUCCAGUUUGAUAGGUCUAUCACAUAUUUUCACAGAUUAAAUGUUAAAAUUAUUUCUGUUGAUGAUGAUGAUGAUGAUGAUGUUGAUGAUGAUGAGACUGAUGAUACCGACAGUGAAGAUGGUGGCGAUGAUGUUACUGUUGAUGAAGAUGAUGUCCUAACUUAAUUACUUUCGUUACUACAACUGAAGUGGUGGGAAUCGGUUGGGAUUUCAUCAUCGAUUAUAAUCGAUUGGCGCUGGCGCCGACCGAUCAACUUUCGAUUACACAAUCGCUUACAAUUAGAUCAGUAUAAAAAGGAUUUGAAUUAUAAGGACCAUAUACCUUUCUUCAUGUUCACCGGGAUCUAAGCCCUACAAAUGGCUAAUAUUACGUACCUUUAAUACCAGUUUUCAUUCUCUAUGUACACAGGAAAACACACACAAAGUCCAACAUAUUCAGUUCCAUCAUCUCCACCACCCAUCACACUACAGGUGGAAAUCCUACCAAUUGGUUUUCUCUACUGGUUAAAAUGUGAUAGCCUGUCACGCGGCACUAAGAAAGAAAAGGUAAGAAAUGACAAAAUACCCCACCCCCACCCCCACCCCAAAGAAAUAACCACUGGAAAUCAACUUGGAAUGCUGGUUCAAUUAGAAAAUUAAUAUUAUUAUUACUAUUAUUAUUAUUAUUAUUAUUAUUAUUACUUGUCACUGUUAAGUAAAUUAUCGCAUCUUUGAUAUUGUAUUUGUUUGGACUUUAUUGAAAAGUCUGACGCCAUAUAAUCGUAAAUAAAAUGUGUUGAGUGCGUCGUUAAAUAAAA